rnacentral:rRNA from 1 species
GGUGAAAUGCGUAGAGAUGUGGAGGAACACCAGUGGCGAAGGCGACUCUCUGGUCUGUAACUGACGCUGAGGCGCGAAAGCGUGGGGAGCGAACAGGAUUAGAUACCCUGGUAGUCCACGCCGUAAACGAUGAGUGCUAAGUGUUAGAGGGUUUCCGCCCUUUAGUGCUGCAGCAAACGCAUUAAGCACUCCGCCUGGGGAGUACGGUCGCAAGACUGAGAUAACUCAAAGGAAUUGACGGGGGCACCGCACAAGCGGUUGGAGCAUGUGGUUUAAUUCGAAGCAACGCGAAGAACCUUACCAGGUCUUGACAUCCUCUGACAACCCUAGAGAUAGGGCUUCCCCUUCGGGGGCAGAGUGACAGGUGGUGCAUGGUUGUCGUCAGCUCGUGUCGUGAGAUGUUGGGUUAAGUCCCGCAACGAGCGCAACCCUUGAUCUUAGUUGCCAGCAUUCAGUUGGGCACUCUAAGGUGACUGCCGGUGACAAACCGGAGGAAGGUGGGGAUGACGUCAAAUCAUCAUGCCCCUUAUGACCUGGGCUACACACGUGCUACAAUGGGCAGAACAAAGGGCAGCGAAGCCGCGAGGCUAAGCCAAUCCCACAAAUCUGUUCUCAGUUCGGAUCGCAGUCUGCAACUCGACUGCGUGAAGCUGGAAUCGCUAGUAAUCGCGGAUCAGCAUGCCGCGGUGAAUACGUUCCCGGGCCUUGUACACACCGCCCGUCACACCACGAGAGUUUGUAACACCCGAAGUCGGUGAGGUAACCUUUUGGAGCCAGCCGCCGAA